rnacentral:rRNA from 1 species
UGCAAGUCGAACGGGGUGAGGGGGCAACUCUUCAUUCAGUGGCGAACGGGUGAGUAAUGCAUCGGAACGUAUCCCGUAGUGGGGGACAACGCCGCGAAAGCGGCGCUAAUACCGCAUAUGCUCUACGGAGCGAAAGUGGGGGACCUGCAAGGGCCUCACGCUAUGGGAGCGGCCGAUGUCCGAUUAGCUAGUUGGUGGGGUAAUGGCCCACCAAGGCGACGAUCGGUAGCUGGUCUGAGAGGAUGAUCAGCCACACUGGGACUGAGACACGGCCCAGACUCCUACGGGAGGCAGCAGUGGGGAAUUUUGGACAAUGGGGGCAACCCUGAUCCAGCCAUGCCGCGUGCGGGAAGAAGGCCUUCGGGUUGUAAACCGCUUUUAGUCGGGAAGAAAAGGCACGUUCUAAUACGGCGUGUUCUUGACGGUACCGGCGGAAUAAGCACCGGCUAACUACGUGCCAGCAGCCGCGGUAAUACGUAGGGUGCGAGCGUUAAUCGGAAUUACUGGGCGUAAAGCGUGCGCAGGCGGUUCGUUAAGUCUGAUGUGAAAGCCCCGGGCUCAACCU